rnacentral:rRNA from 1 species
UUGAACGCUGGCGGCAUGCCUUACACAUGCAAGUCGAACGGUAGAGGGGCAACCCUUGAAAGUGGCGAACGGGUGAGUAAUAUAUCGGAACGUGCCCAGUCGUGGGGGAUAACGCAGCGAAAGCUGCGCUAAUACCGCAUACGAUCUAUGGAUGAAAGCGGGGGAUCGCAGGACCUCGCGCGAUUGGAGCGGCCGAUAUCAGAUUAGGUAGUUGGUGGGGUAAAAGCCCACCAAGCCGACGAUCUGUAGCUG